UGGAAGAGAAACUGGUUCGUCCUCUACCUGGACGGCAGCUUGGUUUACUACCAUGAUGAGACGCAGCGCGACAUGGACGGCCGGAUCCACAUCAAAUACAGCUGCCGGGACGUGAGGACCGGCCGCGAGUGCAGAGACGUCCAGCCGCUCUCCACAAGCGGCCGAGCCGCUCGUCCACCGCAACCCGUACGGGCGAAGCCAGCUCCUUGCAAAUCCAGUGCUUAAAGCUUGUAACUACGGGAAACGUAGGGGUUUGGUUAUAUCAGAAGCAAAAAAGUUAUGUGCUUGUGGAGAACGGCCAAAUGACGACCAACGUCGGUUGCAUGAAGAACCACAGGAAAAAAAAUAACAACCCAACAAAACAAAACGAAAAAGCGGCAAGAUGAACCGUUUUUGCACAGCUAGGAUCAGUACAAUACAGGAAAAGCAGCCAGGUUUCCUUCCCCCCAAGAGUUUCUUUUAAAUAAAGAAUGAUCCUUUGUCACAUAUCAUUGAUGUUUAUUUCAAGACAUGCCACGUCAAAAAAAAACUCGCCUUUAAUAUUGCAUUAUAAAAGCACUUUACAUCUCAUUCUGCCUUUAAGUUAUUGUUGUGCAGAGCUGCUAUAAACCCAGGGCAGGGCAGGAGUCCAACAUUCGUUUCAGGAAUGAAGAAUUCCAAAUCUUUUAUGCCCGUUUCCUGGUGAAAGUGGUGGUGAGGACGAUUCCCUUUCUCUUCCCCGGAUGGUUAUUUUAGGUGGUAGAGGGGCAGAAGAGAACAAAGGAGGAGCCUGACUAUUUGCUUGCAAUUGUUCAUUUACGUAGCAAUCGCAACACAGACUCAAGAAUUCCUUCCUGCACUGUAACUCAGCCAUAUCCGCCCAGCAAACAAUGUAUUUACAAUUGUGUUUAUUAACUUACACAGCAACUUCACAAUGACUAGUAAAGAUUAAAAGGGUGCACUUCUAGUGUGUUCGAUUCCGUGUUUCUCGGGUAGCUACAUCUCGCAACAUCAGCAAAGCUCUAAACAGAUUCCUCAGCAAAACGCAACAAAAAAUAAUUACUGAAAAUGGUAAAAAAUUAAGCAAAGAAAUAAAUAUCAAAGAAAAAUGGUUAAUUGUAAGCCUAGUUAAAUAGAAGACUAAAUUACUAGUUAUUUAACCAAACUAUACAGCUCUAGUGAACCAAACUAAACCAACUUGGAAGACUGAACAUAAAAAAAAAAGCUAAAAAAUAAAGGCAUAAAUCUGCAUAAUCAUAAAUCGGUUUCCAUCCUAUUAAACUCCCUUCCAUCCCAUCUAAGCUCUCUCAACUAGAUUUCUGCACGAUCAAAGUAAACACCCCUUCCCCAGUCGACCUACGACCACGCCAUGGAAAAGCGGGUGCAAUUCCCCCUUCCGCCGCCCCCUCUCCCCCAGCCGUGAACUGGCCGGUGAACGCAGCACCUCCGCUGGGUAAUCCAGCUGCUCUUUCCUCUCUCUGCCAAAUUUGAAAGGUUUCAAUCCGCUUCGGCAGGUUUGAGUGCCAGUCCUGAACUCACUUGGUGUUCCCCCUAGAGAAAGAAGCGACACGCUUUCUCCUCCGAACGGCUGAAACGUUACCUUCCCAUCUCUCGGGCAGUAAUAAUUUACUUCAUUGGUGUUCUACAUAAAAGG